GCCCUGCCAUGUAAGGAAGGUGCCGUCGUUUGAGCGGAGUCGAAUACGAACGAGAAGAGGAACCAAGAGAAUCUGUAAAGCGAAAAGGAGCAUAUCUAGGGUAUCUUCUUCCGGAUCUCUCUAGCCUGAAGGGAUCGGGCUCAAGUAGCACAUUACUUUUCCGCGAGGACCGGCUGGUUUUUAGAGGAUUUUGAUGGGAUCAUUCUUGAGUGUGCCUGCUGCUAAGUCUGGUGAAGGCGUGCAUUGUGAAACAUCCCGUGGUGAUGCAAACAAAAAGAUAAGAAUAUCGUCGUAUUUUGAUGACAACCCGAGGCUGAUCCCUAGUCUUCCAGAUGAAGUCUCGAUUCAAAUCCUAGCGAGAUUGCCGAGAAUUCACUACUUGAAUGUGAAGUUGGUUUCCCGGCGAUGGAUGAUUGCUGUCAUGAGCGGUGAGCUGUUUCAGCUGAGAAGACAACUUGGGGUGACUGAAGAAUGGUUAUAUGUAAUGACGAAGACAGGAGGGGACAAGUACUUGUGGCAGGCAUUGGACCCUCGUUCGGGAAAAUGGCAACGGUUGCCGCCGAUGCCCCAUGUUGUGGAUGAGGAACGGCCAAAGAGGGGGUUGCCUGGAUUUUGGAUGUGGGGUGUGGUGGGCUCCAGCAUCAAACUUGCUGAUUUCAUAAGAGGUUGGCUCGGGCGCAGGGAUAACUUGGAUCAGAUGCCCUUUUGCGGAUGUGCAGUUGGUGUUGUCAAUGGCUGCCUCUAUGUAUUAGGUGGAUUUUCUCGAGCCUCUGCCAUCAAUUGUGUUUGGCGGUAUGACCCGUGUCUUAACUUGUGGCAGGAAGUGAGCUCUAUGACCAGUGCUAGGGCUUUCUGUAAGACAGGCAUAUUAAACGACAAACUUUAUGUCGUGGGGGGGGUCGUGAGGGGAAGAAAUGGCUUAAUUCCUUUACGAACUGCUGAAGUUUUUGAUCCCCUAACAAGUCUUUGGACGGAGUUGCCAAGCAUGCCUUUCGUGAAAACACAGGUGUUACCUACUGCUUUUUUAGCUGACAUGCUGAAGCCUAUUGCAACCGGAUUGGUUUCAUAUAGGGGAAGGUUGUGUGUUCCACAGAGUUUAUAUUCUUGGCCCUUCUUUUUUGAUAUUGGAGGUGAAAUUUAUGACCCAGAGACAAGUUCGUGGGUGGAAAUGCCACAUGGUAUGGGUGAUGGUUGGCCUGCUAGGCAAGCGGGAACAAAGUUGGGUACUGUAGUCAAUGGAGAUCUAUAUGCCUUGGAUCCUGCUAGUUGUUUGGACAAUGGCAAGAUAAAGAAGUAUGAUUAUCAGGAGGAUGUUUGGAGAGUUGUUAUAGAAAAUGUACCAGUUCGUUAUCUCACUGACUCUGAGUCUCCAUUUCUGCUUGCUGGUUUACUUGGGAAGCUCCAUGUUAUCAUGAAAGAUGCCAAUCAUCAUAUUGUGAUAUUGGAAGCUGACUUACAGAGACGUACAGGCUCAAAUGUUUCGACUUCAUCAACUGCUCCAGCUGACUCUAUGACUGACAACCCUGUUUCCUUGGUAGAGGAAGAGCCUGAAUUUUGGAAGGUCAUUGAUGCUAAGGAUUCUGGGGUAGCAGAGCUUGUAAGCUGUCAGGUCCUUGAUAUUUGACAUACUAGGAUUUGGGAAUCAUCCAACUCUCAUAAAUACAUCAUGGCCUAACUACAUGAUGGAGCUUGCAUUUAUUGGUAUUUAAGUACAUAUUAGCUAUGCUUUAUAGUGGAUAUACCUUUUUAGCCAGUACAUAAUAAAGGAAAAUUGGGGGCCUUGUCGGAAUCAUGGCUUGAUAAAUCUAUGAGGAGUCACCUGGAAGUUGAGAAGUUAUUCUGACAUUGCUAUAUAUUACAGUUUUCUUGUCUAUUUCAGCAGCCCCAGUGCAGGGAUUUGAAAGUGAUGCCAGACGUCCAUGGCCGAGGUGGUGAUGGGCUUGUGCAUUCAUGAAGAAAGUAUUUGAACCAUUUUUAAAUGGUUUCUCAGGGAUACUUAAAGUUUCAUGGUCCCAGAAGCUAUCCAUUGUGGAGGAACAAUCUUAAAGUUGCAGAGAAAUUAGAUAACUUAAGAGAAGCAAGAAGAUUUGCAGGCAUCAACCCUGAACAUCCGACAAUCCAGUGGAUUUGCAGAAUGUCACAGGAACCGUCAGAUUUGCAGGCAUUUCCACCUACCAUUUCUUGGCAUAUACCCCUCAUCUAAAUCAUCCAGUGUUGGUAAUCCCAGAAAGCGAGCUUUUUGUGAACUCAUUUUCAGUGUUCUUUGUAAAGAUACUAUAUUCAGAGUGUUUUUUAAGAAUUCAGUGGACUGUUAUGCUUAAAGGCUAUUAUUUCUUGAAGCGCAAUAAAUUGAAAUUAUAAUAACAUUUACUUCCACUUGCCAAGGGAGUUUCUGACUGGACUUACAGGUAAAUGAUCAUUUUUCGGAAGUUAUUAGAAGUGGCUGGUCAUCUCUAUACUGGUUAAAAGAGUACUAGGAAGCCCAGUUUGCACCACAGAUGGAGUCGUGGUUAUGGUCAAUUGCAUGCAUGAGGUUAGUGCAAGGUGAUGUGAGGCUUCAUAGUGUUCCACUUAUGGUUAUUUUGUGGUAUUCUUAAAUCUUUAUAUGGCAUUAUCUAAGUUACUGUACAUUUUAUUUUAUUAUUGUUUUACAGAUUCAUAUGAUUUUUCAUGUAUUUUUCUCUAUCUUCAUGAGGUCAGUGCAAGGUGAUGUGAGGCUUCAUAGCGUUUCACUUAUGGUUAUUUUGUAGUAUUCUAAAAUUUUUAUAUUGCAUUAUCUAAGUUACUAUACAUUUUAUUUUAUUAUUGUUUUAAAGAUUCAUAUGAUUUUUCAUGUAUUUUUCUCUAUCUUCAUGCGAGUAGAACUGUGUUUUCCCAUUUUACUGAGUGGUAAGUUGAACAAUUAUCUGCUAGGUAAAACAAUGUGGUCAUCAUAUUCCGAGCUUUGAACAAGUGAAAAAGUCAAGAAAUACAACCAUAGUUCUACAUUUUUCAGGCUUGAUUUUGUCAUAUUGGUGGAAACUUCGCUUUCUACUGAUUGGGCAAGAUGUAUAGUUUGAAAUUUAUUUAUUUAUUUACUUCAGAUGAUCAUUUUUAAAAAAAUGUUCAUGCAACAUUAUGGUAAUUAGUUGGCAUAUCUAUUUCACAUCAAACAAAUUCAACUUACACCGACAACAAUUAACAAUGGAUCAACACAACCCAUUAUGAGUAAUCCACGGUACAUAUAUUUCUUUUGCUUAUUAAAAGUUUCUGCAGACAGUAGAAAAAAUGAUUGCACAAAUGACAGGCUAUCAGUCAAAUUGGCCUUCAGACUCAAUACCAUGUUUUAGAAUACCUGUCAGACAAUUAUAUAUACCUGCCAGUAUUUCUUGUCCAAUUAAACACCGAUAUUGGACCAUACGUGAGUCCAGCUCGGUAUUCCGUUUAUCUUAUUAUUAUUUUCUUCAGUGAUAUCGUGCACAUAUUGGUUUUGUGUCUGAAAUGUUAUCAAAAUUGUUAUCAGAAUUGUAUUUGAAACAUUGUAAUUUUUAGCUUUCUUUCAGUAGAUAUAAUUGGAUUUGCAUCUAUCUCUAUGAGUCGAAUGUAUUAUCUGUAAUUGGAGACUCUUUGUUUGUCAUUUCAAUCUGGUGAUAUGCUUCAAACCAGUUAACGAUCCUUUCCGAUCGAGUGCAUCAACUAUUCUAAAGUUGGAUUUCAGACUGCAAAGCUGGCUCCGUUUUAAUGCAACCACUAGAAUUUCAUGAAGAAAUGCUAUUUGGAAAGUCAACACAAGUUCCUUCACAUUUUCUCUUUUAAGUCUCUCGUUAGUGUGUCAUUCUUUGUGAUUGAAUUAUUCCACCAUGAAUUAUUUUCAUAGAUUGGAAGUUCUGAUAUAAUUAUUUGUUGUUAUUUGACUAGAAGCAUGGCUGCAGUUGGACUCUUUAUGGAUGACUUUGUCAAUUCUCUUCAAGGCCAUUUUCUUCAGUAUAUGAAGUGAUUCUGAGAAGGUGAUGUCUCCUUUUGGUUGCUUGUGAUGAAAAGUGCUUCAGAAUCUUAUAUCUUUUGGAACUGCUGUUAUAUAUACCUUUUCAGAGAGAGUCUUGGAACAUCUACAAAGUUCACACAUUGAUGUUCCUGAACUAACCCAUCCUGCCCUGCUCAGAGAUGCAAUUUCAUGCUCAGAGAAACAACUAGCUAAAGCCCCAAAGUAAUUACAUGCUUGUGAUGUAAUGAGCUCUUUUGGUCAGUUCACUUGGAGCAAAGUUUAGCUUAAAAUUAAGCUAGCCAUCGAAUGCAAUUUAGAAGUUCUGAUCAGCACCGUUGCCUGGAGGACCUACACAUUGCUUUGACACUGUUUUUAUGUCACCGGUCUCGACAGUUUGUGGAGGAAUCUUGGUAACAAUCUACUAUAACAUGCAAAGAUUUGUGGUUGUAUAAAUUGGAGUCUCAAACAAGAACACCUGUUGCUUUUUGACAAUGAUGUUGGUAAGAUUCUGUGAUUCUUUUCACAGUUGAUCUGUUCAUGAAACAUAAUUUUGCUGAACUUUAUAAGGUUUUUUUAA